CGGUGAAUACGUUCCCGGGCCUUGUACACACCGCCCGUCAAGCCAUGGAAGCCGGGGGUACCCAAAGCCAGUGUCCUAACCGUAAGGAGGGAGCUGUUUAAGGUAAAACCGGUGACUGGGGCU
rnacentral:rRNA from 1 species